GAUGAACGCUGGCGGCGUGCCUAAUACAUGCAAGUCGAGCGAACGGACGAGAAGCUUGCUUCUCUGAUGUUAGCGGCGGACGGGUGAGUAACACGUGGAUAACCUACCUAUAAGACUGGGAUAACUUCGGGAAACCGGAGCUAAUACCGGAUGAUAUUUUGAACCGCAUGGUUCAAAAGUGAAAGACGGUCUUGCUGUCACUUAUAGAUGGAUCCGCGCUGCAUUAGCUAGUUGGUAAGGUAACGGCUUACCAAGGCAACGAUGCAUAGCCGACCUGAGAGGGUGAUCGGCCACACUGGAACUGAGACACGGUCCAGACUCCUACGGGAGGCAGCAGUAGGGAAUCUUCCGCAGUGGGCGAAAGCCUGACGGAGCAACGCCGCGUGAGUGAUGAAGGUCUUCGGAUCGUAAAACUCUGUUAUUAGGGAAGAACAUAUGUGUAAGUAACUGUGCACAUCUGGACGGUACCUAAUCAGAAAGCCACGGCGAACUACGU
rnacentral:rRNA from 1 species